AGUGAACGCUGGCGGUAGGCCUAACACAUGCAAGUCGAACGGCAGCACAGUAAGAGCUUGCUCUUACGGGUGGCGAGUGGCGGACGGGUGAGGAAUACAUCGGAAUCUACUUUUUCGUGGGGGAUAACGUAGGGAAACUUACGCUAAUACCGCAUACGACCUACGGGUGAAAGCAGGGGAUCUUCGGACCUUGCGCGAUUGAAUGAGCCGAUGUCGGAUUAGCUAGUUGGCGGGGUAAAGGCCCACCAAGGCGACGAUCCGUAGCUGGUCUGAGAGGCUGAUCAGCCACAUUGGAACUGAGACACGGUCCAGACUCCUACGGGAGGCAGCAGUGGGGAAUAUUGGACAAUGGGCGCAAGCCUGAUCCAGCCAUACCGCGUGGGUGAAGAAGGCCUUCGGGUUGUAAAGCCCUUUUGUUGGGAAAGAAAAGCAGCAGGUUAAUACCCCGCUGUUCUGACGGUACCCAAAGAAUAAGCACCGGCUAACUUCGUG
rnacentral:rRNA from 1 species